rnacentral:lncRNA from 1 species
AUGAUCAUGAUGGUUGUGUUAUAUGCAGUGUUAAUCCUCGAGGAUGUGUGAUUGUUAAGAGGGACAUUCAGAAAUUAGUGGAUGAAGGUGUAAUUCAGAGCCAGCAGUCCAGACAUAUGGGUAAUGAUGUAAAUGUUAUUCUACUAGUGUUCAAGACUCCCGAGCAAGUAGUUAUCCAGUUUGACAACAGCAAGAGUGAUAAUAGAUCGGUAUCACCAUUGGUAAU